GACGAACGCUGGCGGCGUGCUUAACACAUGCAAGUCGAACGGAAAGGCCCUGCUUGCAGGGUACUCGAGUGGCGAACGGGUGAGUAACACGUGGGUGAUCUGCCCUGCACUUCGGGAUAAGCCUGGGAAACUGGGUCUAAUACCGGAUAGGAGCCAUUUUUAGUGUGAUGGUUGGAAAGUUUUUUCGGUGUAGGAUGAGCUCGCGGCCUAUCAGCUUGUUGGUGGGGUAAUGGCCUACCAAGGCGGCGACGGGUAGCCGGCCUGAGAGGGUGGACGGCCACAUUGGGACUGAGAUACGGCCCAGACUCCUACGGGAGGCGGCAGUGGGGAAUAUUGCACAAUGGGCGCAAGCCUGAUGCAGCGACGCCGCGUGGGGGAUGACGGCCUUCGGGUUGUAAACUCCUUUCGCUAGGGACGAAGCUUUUUGUGACGGUACCUAGAGAAGAAGCACCGGCUAACUACGUG
rnacentral:rRNA from 1 species